rnacentral:rRNA from 1 species
GAUGAACGCUGGCGGCGUGCCUAAUACAUGCAAGUCGAGCGAACGGACGAGAAGCUUGCUUCUCUGAUGUUAGCGGCGGACGGGUGAGUAACACGUGGAUAACCUACCUAUAAGACUGGGAUAACUUCGGGAAACCGGAGCUAAUACCGGAUGAUAUUUUGAACCGCAUGGUUCAAAAGUGAAAGACGGUCUUGCUGUCACUUCUAGAUGGAUCCGCGCUGCAUUAGCUAGUUGGUAAGGUAACGGCUUACCAAGGCAACGAUGCAUAGCCGACCUGAGAGGGUGAUCGGCCACACUGGAACUGAGACACGGUCCAGGCUCCUACGGUAGGCAGCAGUAGGGAAUCUUCCGCAGUGGGCGAAAGCCUGACGGAGCAACGCCGCGUGAGUGAUGAAGGUCUUCGGAUCGUAAAACUCUGUUAUUAGGGAAGAACAUAUGUGUAAGUAACUGUGCACAUCUUGACGGUACCUAAUCAGAAAGCCACGGCUAACUACGUG